CACUUUUCACCAUAGAGUAACAUGUACAGAUUUUGAUACAUAGCCCUGAUUUCUGGAAUGUCAUACUAUGUACACAAAACACAACAUAUUUUCAAUAUAUCAUUAAGUGCUUGAAGUAAAAAAAGUGGAUUUACAAUGUAUUUUUUUUUUUACAUGAACAAAUCUUAAAUGUAGUUUGUUUGGUCUAUACUGUAUCCAUAAGCCUAGGAAAAAUAAAGUAUGCAAAGCAAAAAUAAAAAAUAAAAAUUCGCACAAUUAUAGUGAAAAAAAUGAACCCCUUGAGGACCAACACUGGUUUACGUCAUAAUAAGAAUCUGUUCUUUAUAGUGUCUCUGCCACUUCUGUGUAUUUCCUAAAGAUGAUCUUUGUGGCAAACCUAGCCACUUGGACAAUAACAAGAGACUAUGCCUUUAAGGGUUGCCAAUAGGUCGGGCGAGAUACGCGCUUCACACUUAUGUAAAUGUUCAUGUAUUUUCUGUAUGGCCUGUACUGCUGUUUCAGUCGAAUGCAAAUGGCGGUUUUGUAUGGGGUUUUUCUUUCGUUUCACGAACGGCACUUUAGAAAGCCGUUCGUGAACCGAACGCAAUACCCCCUGAUAGCCCACACACUUAGAGGCGUGUGGCGCUAGUUAACCGAUUGCAACAUUGUUGCAAUCGGUUAU